AUUGAACGCUGGCGGCAUGCUUUGCACAUGCAAGUCGAACGGCAGCGCGGGGCAACCUGGCGGCGAGUGGCGAACGGGUGAGUAAUACAUCGGAACGUACCCAGAAGUGGGGGAUAACGUAGCGAAAGUUACGCUAAUACCGCAUACGUUCUACGGAAGAAAGUGGGGGACCUUCGGGCCUCAUGCUUUUGGAGCGGCCGAUGUCUGAUUAGCUAGUUGGUGAGGUAAAGGCUCACCAAGGCGACGAUCAGUAGCUGGUCUGAGAGGACGACCAGCCACACUGGGACUGAGACACGGCCCAGACUCCUACGGGAGGCAGCAGUGGGGAAUUUUGGACAAUGGGCGCAAGCCUGAUCCAGCAAUGCCGCGUGAGUGAAGAAGGCCUUCGGGUUGUAAAGCUCUUUUGUCAGGGAAGAAACGGCUGAGGAUAAUACCUUCGGCUAAUGACGGUACCUGAAGAAUAAGCACCGGCUAACUACGUG
rnacentral:rRNA from 1 species